UAGCAACAUCCUUGAUUUCGUUGUCGUG
rnacentral:sRNA from 1 species